AACGCACAUUGCGCCCCCUGGUAUUCCGGGGGGCACACCUGUUCGAGCGCCAUUUCAACCCUCAAGCCCCGCUUGGUGAUGGGCCCCGCCUCUGCGGCGGGCCCGAAACUCGUGGGCGUGUCCUGCCGGCUUCAAGCGUAGCACAACCCUCGCUUUGGAGACCGGCCGGCCGCCGCCUCGAAACGAAUUUUUACAAGGUUGGCCUCGGAUCAGGUGGGGAUACCCGCUGAACUUAA
rnacentral:misc_RNA from 1 species